rnacentral:rRNA from 1 species
GAUGAACGCUGGCGGCGUGCCUAAUACAUGCAAGUCGAGCGAACAGACGAGGAGCUUGCUCCUCUGACGUUAGCGGCGCACGGGUGAGUAACACGUGGAUAACCUACCUAUAAGACUGGGAUAACUUCGGGAAACCGGAGCUAAUACCGGAUAAUAUAUUGAACCGCAUGGUUCAAUAGUGAAAGACGGUUUUGCUGUCACUUAUAGAUGGAUCCGCGCCGCAUUAGCUAGUUGGUAAGGUAACGGCUUACCAAGGCAACGAUGCGUAGCCGACCUGAGAGGGUGAUCGGCCACACUGGAACUGAGACACGGUCCAGACUCCUACGGGAGGCAGCAGUAGGGAAUCUUCCGCAAUGGGCGAAAGCCUGAUGGAGCAACGCCGCGUGAGUGAUGAAGGUCUUCGGAUCGUAAAACUCUGUUAUUAGGGAAGAACAAAUGUGUAAGUAACUAUGCACGUCUUGACGGUACCUAAUCAGAAAGCCACGGCUAACUACGUG